AGCUUUGCGCAGUGGCAGUAUCGUAGCCAAUGAGGUUUAUCCGAGGCGCGAUUAUUGCUAAUUGAAAUAUUUUUUGACAAAAGUGUCC
rnacentral:snRNA from 1 species